rnacentral:rRNA from 1 species
CAGUCGCCGCGGGAAUACAGAGGGUGCGAGCGUUAAUCGGAUUUACUGGGCGUAAAGCGUGCGUAGGUGGCUUCUUAAGUCGGAUGUGAAAUCCCUGAGCUUAACUUAGGAAUUGCAUUCGAUACUGGGAAGCUAGAGUAUGGGAGAGGAUGGUAGAAUUCCAGGUGUAGCGGUGAAAUGCGUAGAGAUCUGGAGGAAUACCGAUGGCGAAGGCAGCCAUCUGGCCUAAUACUGACGCUGAGGUACGAAAGCAUGGGGAGCAAACAGGAUUAGAUACCCCAGUAGUCCCUGUCUCUUAUAC